ACAUUUACUGAUUCUUUGUUCUAUUGUUCACUGCUAUUUUUUCUUUUUCUGCUGAUUUGUUGUAGUGGACUGACCUAGUUGUAAUAUAGCUGGUUGAUUUGUUGUAAAAUGAAAAUGGAGUAAUGGUUUUGUUGAGAGUGCUAGCAAAGUAGCAAAUGGUUUUGUAGAAAGUGACAGAAAUGAUUGAAUCUAUAUUUUUCUUUUAAAAAGCUGAAUUAUUGAUUAGAUACUUGUUCUACUGUUUUGAUUGUCAAAUUGAAUCUUUGUUAUGUUUUUCUUAAUAUGUACGUGUUCGGAAAGCUUGCUUCACCUAUUCUCAGUCAAUAUUGGAAGACUCAAUUGCUUCAGGUUUCUUUAAGGGCUGCCCGGAACUCCAAGUGUUAAGGUAGGUGUCGUGGGGGCUGGUACAACAAGUGUCUUUGAGGAAGUACUGCAGUCAUCAAAGAAAUCCCUCAGUCUUGUCUUUGUGCCAUCAAAAGCAACAGCCAAGGUUUUGGCUUCAGAGCUCCCUAAGAAUAGGAAAGACAAAGGCAAAGUCCUAUAUCCUGCUUCUGCAAAAGCUGGCAAUGAGAUUGGUAAGUGAAGGCUUCUUUUGUAUGACUACAAACACAUAGGUUACACAGUGAACAGUCUUUAGAGUACAAAAGUAGUGAAAAUUAGAUGCAUUUUUGUAAUGAAUAUAAUACAAUCAGGAUUGAAAUACAGGAUCUAUGAACAGUCUGGCAUUAAAAGUAUUUAUGAAAACCACAGUUUGGAUUAAAAUCUCUUUGGUUGUGGAGCACAUGAUGCAUUUUGUAUUUUCUCUUUCAUAGACAAGAGAUUGCUUUGCAUUUAAAUUGAUAGUGUAGAUCUUAAUCUAUAUUAAUAUAUAUGGUUUGUUAUUAUUUUAGUUACAGCAUAUGGACUGAUGUGGAUUGUUUCUAGUGUUAAAGCAUAGAAGAAUUGUUGUUUGCUUUUUUUAUUUCUUAUGCUGACACCUGCUCAAUACAUUAAUUUAAGUCUUGCUGUGUGAUUCAAAGUCCGAUUGUUUCUGAUAGAGAUGUUCUCACUAAAUAACUGAAGUCAUUUUUCUUUUACUUGAUACUUGAUUUUGUAAACCAGGACUUAGUACUCAUCAUCAUCUUCCUUAUAUAAUGCUGAUAUAAUUGCGACUCUUGAGACUCUUUUAUGGACAUGAGAGGAUGAACAAACUUUCCUCUUCUAAUGUAUCUUUUACGAUCCCGUUUCAACUUCUUAAAAUGAUAAUAUUUAUGUUGUAUUUGGCAGAUAUGGUAAUCAGAUCAUGAGUGGGCCUUGAAGGUUUGUACUGACAGGUGGCCAGGAUUUUAUAACAUUUUGCAAGGUCACAGAAGCACUGGAGGGUUUGAAGCCAAUAGAUGUUGCAGCUGCUAAUAGGAACUGAAGUGUUGUGGAGAUCCUCUUACCUUUAUCUGUUUUGGUAUUUAGACUCUUUAGGUAUAUAUAGGCAUGGUUAAUGUGCAUUGGACACAUUUAUCGACAAGUUUAUGUUUUUGGCCUUUAAGUAUAUAGGCAAGGUUAGUAUGUGUUAAUAUUGGGAUGAACCUACUGCUGAUGGAAUAUUGUAGAUCUUGUUGGAUUUAAUGGAAAGCUUUUGG